ACCAGACUCCUACGGGAGGCAGCAGUGGGGGAUAUUGCACAAUGGGGGGAACCCUGAUGCAGCGACGCCGCGUGGGUGAAGAAGCGCCUCGGCGCGUAAAGCCCUGUCAGCAGGGAAGAAAAUGACGGUACCUGAAGAAGAAGCCCCGGCUAACUACGUGCCAGCAGCCGCGGUAAUACGUAGGGGGCAAGCGUUAUCCGGAUUUACUGGGUGUAAAGGGGGCGCAGACGGCGAUGCAAGCCAGGAGUGAAAGCCCGGGGCCCAACCCCGGGACUGCUCUUGGAACUGCGUGGCUGGAGUGCAGGAGGGGCAGGCGGAAUUCCUGGUGUAGCGGUGAAAUGCGUAGAUAUCAGGAGGAACACCGGUGGCGAAGGCGGCCUGCUGGACUGCAACUGACGUUGAGGCCCGAAAGCGUGGGGAGCAAACAGGAUUAGAUACCCUGGUAG
rnacentral:rRNA from 1 species